UUAAAUGGAUGAAAUAUGAAGUUUUAUUAAAAGAAAAAGGGUGAAAAGAACAAAGUUUUGUCCAUCUUUGUUCAUCAUAGCUGAAAGUUAGAGAAGAGAAAGGAGAGGAGAAAGCUCUUGAGUAUUUGGUCAUUAGGAGGAGGAAAAUUGAAGGAAAUCCCCAACCAUAGUGGGCUUGGAGCUGUGAGGGAAUUCGGAGUGGCCACCCGUUCUGAAAGUUUGAUUUUCUUCUGGUGAACAGGACAUCCUUUUAAUUACAUUUGAGGUUUUGGGCUUUUAAAUGUAAUAAGGCCGCUUAAUUAUUUUUAAUGGUUUUAAUAUUUAUUACUAAGAUAGGUAUUACUUAUUUUAA